UAAAGUUGAGCGGGUGUCAUAAAUUAAACAUGUGCAGUAACAGCUUUCGGGUGUUGCAUUUCAUGUCUCAAGGUUGCUUUACAUUCUCUUUCGCAGAUGUGAAUCAAACCAGACGAUAAAAAAGCUUUCUUUGUUAACAAUAAAUGCUUUUUGAUACUGUAUGUGUUUCAAUGAUAUUUUAGGAGGGUUUGUCGUUUUGCUCUAGUGCAUAUGUAACACUAUUUUAAGAUGACCUAAAUAUACCAGAUUAUUUUUCAUUUUUGAAAGUUGCUAUACAGCAUGUUUUCUUAAAACUACAAUUAAGUACAUGCGCAUGCAGUUUGUUCGCCACUGCCCUGCUCUUAAUGCCGUUUUUAUUCUUCUUUACAGUUUUGUAACUUCUUUUCAGGCCGGUACAUUCCUUUCUAUUCUCCAACAUGUCUGUAGGAAAUUCCGUUAAGGUUCAAAUUCAUCUGAGUUAACAACGUGAUGUUCAAAGGACGACAACUCGGACAAUCACUUAUUUACAGUAUAUUAUUCAUGUAUGGUUUCAAAAAUAGGCAACACAGACUGCUUUUUAUCAUUUAUUCAUGCAUUCAUUCUAAGAUAAGUAAGAAGAUAUAAAAUAUACGUACAAUAUAA